ACUACUAAAAAUGAUAAUAGGGAUAACGGUUCAUACAUAACGGUUUUGGUCAAAAACCGUUAUGUAUGAGCGCACUUUUAAUGAUACAUAACGGUUUUACAAAACUCUGUUAUGUAUGUGGUGUUGUCUUAAUGUAUUUAUAACAGUGUUAAAUUAAGCGUUACGUAUUUGCGUUAUCUAUUAGUUCUAUAUAUAACGGUAUUACUGAACCGUUAAAUUAUACGUUAUCUAUGAGCGUCUGUUUUAUAACGGUUAUUUUAGCGUUACGAAAAGCGUUACAUAUGUGUAUCAUUUAUUUAUUUUUAUUUAUCUAUUUAUUAAUUUUAAUUUCUAAAUAAAUUAAAUCCUCCCUUAAUUUCAAAAUCUGAAAUUUAUCUAGGGUUUCAGUUUCUCUUUCAAUUUAUGUUUCUCCAGUGAGUCUCGCCGUCGCCGCCGUUGCCGCUGUCGUUGCCAGACCGUCCCUCACAACGCCGCUCUAUUGCUACAGGUAUUCCUUCUCUCUCUUACUCGAUUCUCUCUCCCCCUGCCCUCUGCUCUUCCUCUCCGAUCUCCAUCUGCGCUCUGCUCUCGUUCGCGGCGACCGCCGCUGCGUAUGCAGCGCCGACGGUUGCCGCCACCGCUGUUCCACUUUUUCCCUCUAUCUAGUUCUCUCUCACUUCUUCUCGCAUCUCUCUCUCUCUGUGUUUCAUUCUCUAUCUCUUUCCCUUGCUUUAUCUCUCUCUCUCUCUGGCGUGGGCAGACGCCGCGGCUUUAGCAGCGUCGGCAGUCGCCGCCGCCAGGUAGAUCUAGAUUGGCUUAGCUAAACUUGUUUCUUCCUUGUGAUAGGGUUCUAUGUUAGUAUAAAUUUGAGUUUGGGAGUGAAAUUGGAGUGAUGUAAUGUUAAUGAAUUAGGGCGAAAAAUCUGAAAAUAAGAUUGAAUGUUCGUGUUCAUAGUUAUCAUCGCUUUUGGUAGUAUUUGUUUUAGGAUUUGUACUUCUUCAUCUUCGUUUCUCCUCCCCCUAAGAAAUUAUAAUCGAAGCACAAUUUAGAAAGAUUUCUCGCUGGUACAGCAGAAAUGGGUUCUUAGGCGAAGAUGGACAAGAUGCGGCAGCACCAGAAUUACCGCAACCUUUGGCAAAUCAAUCUUAUGUGCACCAUCCAAAAUGACCCUUCAUGUAAGUACUAUUUUCUAUAAGGUUAUCUAUCCCUGUGCGUAGCUCGAUUUCUUCAUUUACGCCCAAGUUGGUUGUACUUAUUAUUGCUAAUGUUGAUGAAUUAAGCUCAUUGUGAUGAAACAUAAUAACUCUAGUGAAAGUUUGAACUUCGGAAGUCAGGUCAGUGUCUAAGCCAUUCUCAUAAGUUCUAUCACUUAGUUUCCUUGUAUUUCAUAUUUAUAAAAUUUUAUUUUUCAUGAAGAAUCCCGUAGGAGGCUCACUAUCUGUUCUCAACUUAUCAGAAGUUGUGACUGGCAACAUUGUUAAUAUACACCAUGUAAGGGGUGUAAGCACUUAUGUAAUAUGGUUUCUUAGUGAGUGUUUGGUUUAAAUGAGCUUUAACCGGAGUUAAAACUGUGGAAUUGAACAUAUCAUUAAUUGUUAGACACUCUGAAUUUUCUCCUUCCUUCUUCCUUAUUAACCAAAGCCCUCAUUCUUUUAUGCUAUCUCUCGUUACUGAGGUGAUCAUGUAUAUAAAUUAUCAUUCUAUUUGCUUGCUUUUGUUUCAUUUGAUGAAUGAUUGUAAGUUGGUGAUUAUAUUCUAAUGGACAGUAUGUUAGGUCUAUUUAAUGUCAUGCAUGUUUUUUCCAAUAUCUUUUGGGCAUUUACAUGCGAGUUUCAUUCAAAAAAGGGCACCUAGAUUAUGCAUGCAUUUUGAGACAAAUAAGGUGCUUAUGUUAUUUGCUUUUGCUUAAUCUGUUCAGAUCACAGAUGCUGUUGUUGCUGCAUGGAUAUUGAACGUCACCCUUGUUGUCCCCAAAUUGACCAGAAGUCUUUCUGGAAAGAUGUUUGGUGAGAUAUUGGUCCAUCGUGAAAUUUCUUUUUAAAAUUACUUCUUCCUACAGACUCAAUGUCUCUAUCCGGUACAGCAAGUUUUUAGAGAUAUAUCUUCGAUGUCGAUUGGUUUAUAUCUUAAUCUUGAAAAGGAUGUAAAAAUCAUAAAAAAAGCUACCCACAAAGAAGAGGGCAUAAGUGGAAUCCUCACUUUAGUGUUAUAUAUCAAUUUCAUAUCUUUGGAAUUAUAUGAACAUGAUAUGGUGAGUUAGAUAAUCAAAGCUAUUAUGCCUUAUUUUGCAUAUAUUGUGGUUUCAGAUUUAUAUUAGCCUAUUCAGCUAUGCAAAUUGCAUAACCUAUUACUUCCCUGCCGGAGAGAGAAUGUUGAACUUUUGUUCCUUUUAGACAUUAAGAAUAUUGGAGUUUUGAAAGUAACCAUUGCAGUUUUGUUGCCCGUGUGGAAUCAAAGCUUAAUUUUCACUGCGAGUGCCUUGAACACCAAAUUCUUCCUUUGACUCUCUGGUGUCGUCCAUGUAACUAACUGAUUGUUUCUGUUACACUUGGAAUUAUUCCCUAUUGUUGUUAGUUGAAUUGCUGCUACAAAGAUAGAAAUUAUUUUGCAUAUAUCUCAAUAUUCAACUAAUGAAUGGAACCAUUCUUGUUGUGCAGGUUCGGGUUUUGCUUCAAAGAGAUGUUCUUGUUUGGGCAGUUUGUGGCUUUUUAUGUAAGUCCAUAUAUAAUAUUAAUGUCUUACUAAGUGAUGAUAUUUAGUUGUUUGGGCAGAUGGUGAUUUACCAUUACUAUGGACAGGUUAUGAUGAGAUUAUUUGUUAACUUGUAAUGAAAAUCACAGCUCUAUUAUUUUCUCGACUUGUGUUAUGUUUGAGAUGUGCAGGAUAGGAAGCUUGGGAUCAUUUCAAUGAAUUGGG
rnacentral:lncRNA from 1 species